CUCUCUUUCUGUUAUAUAAAACAAAAUAAAUAAUUAAUACUAGUUGAUUAACUAAUUGAUUAAUUUUGAGAUUGAUUCGUGUAUUGCAAUCGACUAUGAAUAAUUAUGCAGAAUUUUAACUUGAUCCAAGAAUAGGAAGUGAGAGAGAGAACGUGACAAAACGUAAUAAGGGGAUUAAAUCCAUAAUUACAUCAUUAUCUCACAUUAAGUAGCAUUUAUUCCCCUUAUUAUGAUAUCACUCAAAAUAAUUAAUUACCUGCAAUUGGCUAUUUUUUGUGUGCUUCAUGCUUUGUCAGUGACCUAGUUGGUAUUUCGUGCUUGCUAUAUUCUUCAACAUCAACUGCCUGGUCAUAUGUUGCACUCUUCAAACUGUCGUCAAGGUUUUCCCCGAGUUCUAACACUGCUCGCUUCCAUCCUGCAGGAUGGUUUAGACUGAACAAACUAUGAACUAAUGUUCAUUUCUGAUGAGAAGUCUUUACAACUCUGUAGUAGUUUUUAAAGCUGUUAACAUUGUGUUUGUUGUCAAUAGAAUUGUUUCCCCUUGGCAAGGGAGUUAAUGUUUGACAUGAUGAGUUUCUGCGUAAAUAAAAUUCACUCAGGAAUCCAAAAAGUUUAUUAUAACUAUAAUUAUCAUAGGGUGGACCAAAAGCUGACCAAAAAAGGUUUGGUUUGAGUUCAACUUUUCUUUUUUUUUCCCCACUAUCAUUGGUGAAUGCCUGACAAGAAAUGCAUUUUGAAAAAAAAAAACUGGCCCAGGGGCAAUAAAAAAAAAAUUACUUUUGAGAAAUGCAUCAAAUAUGAAAGCUACUAAAUUUUUAAGAGAUUGAGAUAGAAAACAUACAAAUUAAAACAUACAAAGACAGUGUUGACAAUGCCAUUUUAUUUAUUUUUUUUCAAUAUCCUAUAGGUAAAUACAAAAUACAAUUCGUAAACGUAAUUACAAACAUUAGAACAAUAAUAUAUAUGUGUAAUGUAGGCUAUGUUAUAUUGUUUUGUGGCAGUUAACAGAGUAUAUUCAUUGUGUAUAUUAAUAUGUAUAGUGGAUGUAGACUGAUGUA